rnacentral:rRNA from 1 species
AACGAACGCCGGCGGCAUGCCUAACACAUGCAAGUCGAACGAGACCUUCGGGUCUAGUGGCGCACGGGUGCGUAACGCGUGGGAACCUGCCUUUAGGUUCGGAAUAACUCAGAGAAAUUUGAGCUAAUACCGGAUGAUGUCUUCGGACCAAAGAUUUAUCGCCUUUAGAUGGGCCCGCGUUGGAUUAGCUAGUUGGUGGGGUAAAGGCCUACCAAGGCGACGAUCCAUAGCUGGUCUGAGAGGAUGAUCAGCCACACUGGGACUGAGACACGGCCCAGACUCCUACGGGAGGCAGCAGUGGGGAAUAUUGGACAAUGGGCGAAAGCCUGAUCCAGCAAUGCCGCGUGAGUGAUGAAGGCCUUAGGGUUGUAAAGCUCUUUUACCCGAGAUGAUAAUGACAGUAGCGGGAGAAUAAGCUCCGGCUAACUCCGUG